CAGCAGCCGCGGUAAUACGGAGGGAGCUAGCGUUAUUCGGAAUUACUGGGCGUAAAGCGCACGUAGGCGGCUUUGUAAGUUAGAGGUGAAAGCCUGGAGCUCAACUCCAGAAUUGCCCUUAAGACUGCAUCGCUUGAAUCCAGGAGAGGUGAGUGGAAUUCCGAGUGUAGAGGUGAAAUUCGUAGAUAUUCGGAAGAACACCAGUGGCGAAGGCGGCUCACUGGACUGGUAUUGACGCUGAGGUGCGAAAGCGUGGGGAGCAAACAGGAUUAGAUACCCGAGUAGUCCCUGUCUCUUAUAC
rnacentral:rRNA from 1 species